CUCCGGUACAGGGAAUCGAACCCUGGGCUCCGCGGAACUAAUCUCUCAAGUUAUGAGAGCGCGAAAUGUUAGCCACUACACCAUACCGGA
rnacentral:tRNA from 1 species